ensembl:lncRNA
CUCCCUCUCCUGCUUUCGUCGCUCGACGAUGACGUAAAACCACAGCGUCUCGUUUAGAGCGGAGCGUUGAACACCCACCCUCUCUCUGUGACUGACAGCACGUACACCAAUCAGGUGCAGCGAUAGUGUUAACGCGGAGGAGUGGGAGCGGGUAAUUGCGGACCUGCGAGAGGCUGGAUGUAGUAUUUGGAGUGGUGUUUGGAGUCGUGGUCGGCUGAGGUUUACCAUCGUGAAGCCUAGUUUGAUUCUUAGAUGUUGCUUAGGAGUGUUGCAGGUGUUCUCUCCUUCCACCUCAAGGGCAGAAACUUUCAGCAGUGACUACUCCCCAGAGCUGCCUGGUGAGCAACACCCUCCAGUGUUACAGAUGAGGAAGCCAGGCAAAGUAAAUGGCACUCAAGAGGAGAUGGUCCAGAGUUUCUGCUUUCCUGGAGAACCAUCCGCCCCAUCACUGCUUUGGCGUAACUGAUCACAGAUUUUGAAAUGGAAUGUGUGUGUGUGGAAAAACAUCACUUAAGGUGAAAAAAGUAAAUUCUCUGUGACUCAGUUGGACCAGGUAAGUAUUUCAGCCUUAGUGUGUGAAGGGGCUUUCGGACAAAUGCAUUUGACAAGCCACUGAGGGAAAAAGACCUUUGUUAUUAGACACGAAUGCUGCUAUGUCAUACAAAGAAACUCAAACAGCCCACCCCCCUGAAAAAAAUAAAGAGAAAAGGAGAGGGAAGAACACCACGGCUUAAAUGAUAAGUUUCGUAAACGUUCUGCUGUUUUAUAAUUUUUCAGUUGAAACUACAGUUUCCUUUUUCUUCCUUCUACUUUUAUACACACAGCCCAGAAGAUGGACAUUUGGCAAGCCAUAAUAGACUGCUCCUUUCCCAGGUAUCUCCUGCUUGUUUCCUUUCUCUGUGAAUAGGAAAUGGCUUAAAGGCACCUGUGGGAUGAAGGUCCCGGGGGCAGCUGCCUGACUAGUGAAUGCCUGAUUAUGUGUUAACAUGCUUUGUCAGAUAUUGGCAGAAUCUGUUCUCUUCUUUUGCCUUUUCAGCAAGGGUACCAUUGACAGCCUGGCUACCCAUUUAUAGAAAUGUUGUCCAUCAAACUGUGAGGAAGGACAAUAGUGUUUUUCUGUGGCCAGUGACUGUGGGAAACUUUUCUUUGGCUAUUCAGGCAAUUUUUGUAGCUUGCUCUGAAGAGGAGAGACUGAUGAGUGCAAAAAGUACAAUUAAGCAAAGCCAGACUUCAAUUGAAGGCUCUCGUGUAGUCUGCCGUUCUCAUUUUUUUUUUUUAGAGAGGAAAAAAACCCUAUGGGUUUUCACGUUGCUGUGUGGCAUUCAGCAGGGGGCUAUUACAAUCCUAAAUUUUUUUUCUAGACCACCUAAUUCUAAGUUAAAAUUAAAUGUAAUGAGAGCCACUUGGAGUUCUGAAUAUUUUAAAGCAUAAUUCCCACAGAAGGGAUUCGACCUAAAGCGCAGUGAGCAUCAGUUGGCUAAUUAUAGCUGCAUUUUAUAUUACAGCAGGUGUCAGAUGCAGUCAUCUCAAUAAAGUCCACAUAAUACUCUGGGAAAUAACAAAGACUUUUCUUUGAAUGUGGGUACUAAUUUCUGCUAGGUGUCAUAUGAGCCUUGAUACUUCUUAUUGGCGUUAACAAGAGCACUGCAGCUCUCAGAAAUGCUUUUUGCUUGGGAUGAAUUGAUACUGUAAAGCACUUACCAGUCAGACUUGGCAGAUGUCAGUAGUUAAUACUAAUGUUGCAGAGGUCGGAAUAUAAUGCAAAGAGUCUUAUGUAAAUACUCUUAGAUGAUGGGCUGGUUUUGAGGAGGCGCCUGAGCACUGCACCAACUCACUAUUGAAAGUUAAAUAGAUAGCAGUGGGGUAUCUGCAUUGACUUUGGCUCCUGCUUUACUUCAAGUCCUCCAGAAGUGAAGGGCGGAUGGUAAGGCAGUAAACUAGGUGAACAAAAUACGCUGGACUCGGAGAAGGACUUGUUCUGUUCGCAGUACUUUCCUUGACUUGUGUGGGUGACUCAAAUCACUUAAGUGGCAGAGAGGGCAAAAGCAUGCCUGGAGAUAAGGACUCCUGUGCAUAGCCAACAGAUACGAAAUAAACUUAAUCUAGAAAAUACGUCUGCAGUUGAAAUACAAUUGGACAAUGGGCUAGGCAAAAGGGAUGUCACUUUAAAACCAUGACAAUUGUUCUGUACUGCUCCAUUCUUCCAAGAGGUUUACAGUGUAGCCAACCUAUUGUAGUCACUAUUGGAUCAUAGCACAUGAGACCAACAGGAGGACCUAUUAAAAUCUUAUUACAAAAUACUAGCUAAGAUAGGACAGAUGUGAACGCUUUACACACAUUCCACUCUGGAAUCAACACUGUUUGUUUUAAAACUAGUUCAGAGCUAACAAAGCAAAGGCCGUUGUCCUUGAUUAUAAUCCCCCAAAUCAGCUUUGGGUUCGCAUUUUGGCAGGUUGCAGUUUAUGAACAUCUCACAGCAAACCCUGCAGGGUGCUGUCAGCAGUUAGGCAGGCCGGCGAGGAGUUCAACACUCAUUCAACACUGAUUCAGUCAAUGACUGAGCACUGCUUGGGGCAAAGCCCUGUUAAGCCCAGCAGUGAAAUCUAAGAUGAGAAAGAGGACACAGUGUCUGUCCCCAGAGGGCUGACCCUCUAUUCACAAAAGCAAUGUCCCUCGUAGCUCUACUGAAGAUUUCUGUUAAUUUUUGUUUAGAUCAGAUAUGUUCAUGAAUUUUGAUAAAAUCCGGGACAAAAUUGUGAAAUAGUGUGAAAAGUCACAGAGAAAUCACUACAGAGGAACAUAGGUAAUCUGCUACUGGCCAUUGGUUCCUUACAGUACUCAAUAAUGUUCAAGUGUUUUUAAUACCUAAAGCCUCAAUUGUGGAUAAUAAUUUCUUAUUUUUUCUUACAUAAAUGUAGUAUUUCUUUAUUAUAGAAAAUUUAGGAAACCCACAUAAGAUACAAAAAAGAAAAUAAUCCAUACUUCUACUACCUAG